rnacentral:lncRNA from 1 species
UGGUAACAGGUGCACAAGCGUCUCCAGAUGACUAUUUUGAAAUAAUAGACAUGUUUGGCUUUGAGCAGAGUGAAAGUAUGACAGAAGGAGCACAAGUGUCUCCAGGUGUCUACUGUAAAACAAUGGAUCUUUCCAGUUUUGACCAAACUGAAGGAGUGACAGAAAAGAAGCAAGGAGAUUUUCCAUCUUGGACAUUAGGAAUUCAGGGUAAUUGUAUCUCUCUUUGGAUCUUGAACUGAAAAAAUAUCUUUUGAUAUGCCCUAUACAGAGUUCUGUGAGACUCUGUGACACAGAAUUGAAAAUAAACUUUGUUUUAGAUUCUCUUUUUUAUAUUUAUGAACUUGUCA